rnacentral:rRNA from 1 species
UACGUAGGGUGCAAGCGUUGUCCGGAAUUAUUGGGCGUAAAGAGCUCGUAGGCGGUUAGUCGCGUCUGCUGUGAAAACUCGGAGCUUAACUCCGGAUCUGCGGUGGGUACGGGCAGACUAGAGUGAUGUAGGGGAGACUGGAAUUCCUGGUGUAGCGGUGAAAUGCGCAGAUAUCAGGAGGAACACCGAUGGCGAAGGCAGGUCUCUGGGCAUUAACUGACGCUGAGGAGCGAAAGCAUGGGGAGCGAACAGG